AGUAGCAUCUAUGGCAUGGGGGUCUUGUGAGGAUUAAAUGAACUGACACAUGCAAAAUGCUUAAAAUAGUACCUGCUCGCUCACAGUAUUUGCUUUUAUUGCUAUUACAAUAUACAUUUAUGUCUAAUAAGCACUGUGUUUAGAUGACCAAAUACAUUAUGCUUCUAAUAGUUCCUCUGAAGAGAAACAUCAUCAAGCAGUGUGGAAGUACACUUUAUCUCAUUUUCCUCUGUCAACCAUGCCGAAUGGGGACCUACUUGGUCUGGUCCACACACCCACAGCAGACUAGGCUUUGGAGAGGAAGGGAGUAGUCUGUGUAGGGCUGAUCUUUUAUUUUUCAACCUAUUCAGCAGUGGCAAACAUCUCUCACACACAAAGACAAACUCUAACUGAAUGAUUUGUUUUAUUAAUCAGCAUCACUUAUUCCCACAAGUAUUUGGAAUGGCAUUAGAAAACCACUCUAGACUGUUACGUAUGUAUCCUGCUUGGGAUGUUAGACGAGGAUCUUAACUUUAGAAAUUCAGUAGCACCAUAAGGAUAGAUGCAAAACUCACCUCUCCUGUAUCUAUAAUAAUUCUCUACUUAUUGUUCCUGGAGAGACACACAGGUUGCACUGUUCCUGUCACAUCUGUCUUGAAAGAAUGUUUGAAAGAUGAAAAUGGUAAAAUAGCCGAGAAAAUAUCCAAGUGGUAUCCUGAUUAAGCAGACCACUGAGCCAGUUUUUGUUUAAUGGAAGCGGAAGUAGGCUCUUUUCUGCUUAUAUCAAGGCUUCCUAUAAAGUGAUCAAACAUCCUUGUUUUCACCUUCUUGUCCCAGCUUCUUUGAGGUUUGGGCUCCUACCGAGAGCAGCAUAACAUAGGGAGAGGGAGUCCUAUUUUUCUCAGAAUGAUGAAAGGAAAAUAAGAUGGUGAGUCAGCCGGCCAGCAGGCGACUACUGUGUAGGGAACACUCGGUACUGCUCGCCCUCUCCUCCACCUGGUAUCCUGGCUGUUCCUGAAUUAGCUCCUGUUGCUGCGUACAAUGCAACAGACUUGAUAGAGGGGUUCUAGGCUCAUCCCACCUCCCUCAUCUCCUGAAAUUCCUGCCAUUGACUGUCCUCUAUGGCUAACUCAGAAAUAUCAGAAACUGCAUGAAGAGCAUGGCUACUCUAAGAAGGGACUGGAAGCCUGGAACUCCCCCUGCCCAGGGCCCCAUAAUGAUGCACUAGAAAAGUUGACAAAGAGGCCUUUGACUUAGGAGAGAAGAGAUGUUACCUCACAGUGAUGCAUUAAAACGACAGAGCUGAGUGUUGCUGCCACCAGUGCAGAAUUAAAAUGGUCAGAGUUAAAUGGGAUAGAAGGACGUGUAGGGAGAUAGCCAAGAGGAAAGAGUAAUUAUGCACAGUUGGUCAGUGUAAUUGCAUUUAUACAGUCUGGAAGGUUUGCCACCGAGCCGUGCGGGGUGUACCUCCACUCAGCCUUUCUCAACUGAACACAGAAAAGGAUUUGGGUGCCGAUUUUCUCAGAUUCCCUAAGGAUAAUAUAGAACAUUAUAGAUGAAUAAGAGAGACAUUAAUUUAUGACAUACAGUGGAUGCCUUAGGGCAAUAAAUCUUAAUUCUCUCAGGUUAAGAAAGUGUCCCCACUGUUCUUGGCAUAGCAUGUUUCAAAGAUGGGGCUAGUAAUAUAGACAGCCCAUGGUUGGGGAUGCCUCUUUGGUCAGGGGGUAGGAUAUGUUUUCUUCAACCCCUCGACUCAGUUCAGGUUUGGGCAUAUAUAUAAUUGUGAAAUGCCAUUCAUUCAUUCACUCAACAAGUAACUGAAUCUCUUGCCCUUUUCUAGGCGCUGUGCCAAGAGCGGGAGUUAGCAUGGUAAACAAGAAACAGACAAACACAGGAGAUUUAGGAGCAGGGGCCAGCAUGACAUCCUACAUCGCCAGGAUUAGCUGCAUCUCCACAGACACUGGUAGAGAGUGCCUAGGAGCCUGUCUGCACCAACACUUGCAUUGUAGAACUGUGAGUUCCCAUGAGUCCAGAAGUGGUAGCUGGGCUACUCAGUCAGCAGUUUCUACCAUCUAAUAGCAGCAAAAUCCAGAAGGAUGAGGACUCAAAUGACAUGGAACUGAAGAUCUUGUCCAACCUUCUGAUUAUGAUUUGAUUUUCCUUGUACACUUUCCUGUAGAGAUACAAAGAUCUAUCCAUACAGGCUUAAAUAUUUCAGUACUUACAUAUUAUAUUUCUCAAAAUAAAUUAACAAAAAUGGACAGUCUGAUCUUAUACAUCAGGCUUGUGAGUUUGUAAGUCUGCCCCAAGCAAUGAAUUUACAUUCAUGUGCCCUUAAUGUCAGAUUUCUGAACCUUGCAGGAGUAAAAUCAACAUAUCCACAUUCUAAUUCCUGAAUCUAUGUUACCUUAUAUGGCAAAAGGGACUUUUCACAUGCUACUAA